UGGGGAAUAUUGGACAAUGGGCGAAAGCCUGAUCCAGCCAUUCCGCGUGUGUGAAGAAGGUCUUCGGAUUGUAAAGCACUUUAAGUUGGGAGGAAGGGCAGUAAGCGAAUACCUUGCUGUUUUGACGUUACCGACAGAAUAAGCACCGGCUAACUCUGUGCCAGCAGCCGCGGUAAUACAGAGGGUGCAAGCGUUAAUCGGAAUUACUGGGCGUAAAGCGCGCGUAGGUGGUUCGUUAAGUUGAAUGUGAAAGCCCCGGGCUCAACCUGGGAACUGCAUCCAAAACUGGCGAGCUAGGGUAGGGCAGAGGGUGGUGGAAUUUCCUGUGUAGCGGUGAAAGGCGUAGAUAUAGGAAGGAACACAAGUGGAGAAGGCGACCACCUGGGUGCAUACUGACACUGAGGUGCGAAAGCGUGGGGAGCAAACAGG
rnacentral:rRNA from 1 species